UGGGGAAUUUUCCGCAAUGGGCGAAAGCCUGACGGAGCAAUACCGCGUGAGGGAGGAAGGCUCUUGGGUUGUAAACCUCUUUUCUGGGGGAAGAAGUCCUGACGGUACCCCAGGAAUCAGCAUCGGCUAACUCCGUGCCAGCAGCCGCGGUAAUACGGAGGAUGCAAGCGUUAUCCGGAAUUAUUGGGCGUAAAGCGUCCGCAGGUGGAGCGUCAAGUCUGCUGUCAAAGACCGGAGCUUAACUCCGGGCAGGCAGUGGAAACUGGCGAACUAGAGUACGGUAGGGGUAGAGGGAAUUCCCAGUGUAGCGGUGAAAUGCGUAGAGAUUGGGAAGAACACCAGUGGCGAAGGCGCUCUACUGGGCCGUAACUGACACUCAGGGACGAAAGCUAGGGGAGCGAAAGGGAUUAGAUACCCCCGUAGUCC
rnacentral:rRNA from 1 species